rnacentral:lncRNA from 1 species
AUGUUCUACCGUUUUGUGCUAGUUCUGGUUGUUUUUCUUAGUUUUUUUCUACUUUUUUCACCCGUGUCUGGGGACCCAGAGCAGGGAUCCUUUGUUUACAGUAGGGAUCAGCUGUUAGCGCUGCGUCCAGCAGCGGUACUGCCGGCGGACAGACUCGACAUUCCCAGUGAACUGAGGAAGAAAAGACGGGGGUGUCGUGCUGGGAAGGAGCGCCGUCGCCCGAGAAGGAGACGUUAUCGACCAUCUCUUCCUUCUGUAAUUAUUGGAAACGUACGAUCUCUGCUCAAUAAGAUGGAUGAGCUAACGUCGCUAACCUGGUCACAGAGGGAGUACCGGCAAUGUAGCAUCAUGAUGCUAACGGAGUCGUGGCUAACACCGCUAACUCUGGACACGAGCGUGACACUACCGGGAUUCCAGCUGCUGCGAGCGGACAGGACGAGCGAGAGCGGUAAGAGGAAAGGAGGGGGACUGGCAGUGUUUGUGAAUGACAGAUGGUGUAACCCUGGGCACAUCACUGUGAAAGAACAACUCUGCAGCAGAGACAUUGAGCUGUUAGCCGUUAGCAUGCGUCCAUACUACCUGCCCCGGGAAUUCUCGCAUGUUAUCGCGAUAACAGCGUAUGUCCCCCCCUCGGCCAACGCGGAUGCAGCCUGUGACACUCUCCACUCUGUGGUCAGCAGACUGCAAACACAAUCUCCGAGAGCCCUCUUCAUAAUAUCAGGGGACUUCAAUCAUGCCUCACUGGACUCCACACUGCCCACCUUCACCCAGUAUGUGACCUGCCCAACCAGAGACAAUAAAACACUGGACUUACUGUAUGCCAAUGCUGAAGAGGCAUACAGUUCAUCACCUCUCCCUCCCCUGGGCAGAUCUGAUCACAACCUGGUGCACCUUGUCCCUGUGUAUGAGCCCUUAGUGCGCAGGGAGCCACCAGCCACCCGCACAGUGCAGAGAUGGUCAGAGGAGAGCGAGGAGGCUCUUAAGGAUUGUUUUGAGUCCACUGUGUGGGAGGUGAUCUGUGACGACCAUGGAGAGGACAUCGACAGCCUUACUACAUGCAUUACUGACUAUAUUAAUUUCUGUGUGGAUAACACCGUACCUACCAGGACUGUGCGGUGUUUCUCCAACAACAAACCUUGGAUUACCCCAGAAAUUAAAGCCGUCCUCAAGCAGAAGAGGAGGGCCUUCAAAUCCAGAGACAAAGAGGAGUUGAAAAGGGUGCAGAGAGAGCUGAGGGGACUGAUAAGAAAUGGGAAGGACAGCUACAGGCAGAAGAUGGAGAACCAGCUUCAGCAAAAUAACGUUGGUGAAGUCUGGAGAGGCCUCAGAACCAUCUCAGGCCACAAACAUCAGAACUCUCUGCCUGGGAGGGAUGUGAGGUGGGCAAAUGAACUGAAUCAUUUCUUCAACAGAUUUGAUUCAUCCAUGAGGCAGUCUCCAACAUCAGCUGCAGACUUACCCACCCCCACUGCUGCUGUUCCACCUCUGACACCUCAGACACUUCACACCUCCUCUACUCACCCUGCUCACUCCUCCCCACCCCCAACAACAGCAUCCAAUACACACUCAACACAAGGCUCCAGCCUGUCUCUCUCAACCACCCAGGUUCGGAGGGAACUGAGGAGGAUUAAAGCCAAGAAGGCAGCGGGUCCAGAUGGCAUCAGCUCGAGGGUCGUCAGGUCCUGCGCGGACCAACUGUGUGGGGUGAUGGAGCACCUCUUCAACCUGAGCCUGAGGCUGGGAAGAGUCCCACAGCUCUGGAAAACUUCCUGUGUUGUUCCAGUGCCAAAGACUUCACGCCCCAAGGACCUCAACAGCUACAGGCCGGUGGCUCUGACAUCCCACCUGAUGAAGACCCUGGAGCGGCUGGUCCUGGCUCAGCUUCGGCACCUUGUGAGCUCAUCACUGGACCCACUUCAGUUUGCCUACCAGCCUGGCAUUGGAGCGGAUGAUGCCGUCAUUCAUCUCCUACAUCGUUCCCUCGCUCACCUGGAGACCGCUGGGAGCACUGUGAGAAUCACGUUCUUUGAUUUCUCCAGUGCCUUUAACACCAUUCUUCCCUCGGUUCUGAAGGACAAGCUGGAAAACUCUGGAGUGGACCAUCACCUCACUACCCCCAGAUAG